rnacentral:rRNA from 1 species
UUGGAGGGCAAGUCUGGUGCCAGCAGCCGCGGUAAUUCCAGCUCCAAUAGCGUAUAUUAAAGUUGUUGCAGUUAAAAAGCUCGUAGUUGAACCUCGGGAUCAAUGGAUCGGUCAUGCCAUCGGUAUGUACUGGUCUCAUUGGUUCUCACCUUCUAAGGAACCAUGAUGUCAUUCAGUUGAUGUUGUGGGGAAUUAGGACUGUUACCUUGAAAAAAUUAGAGUGUUUAAAGCAGGCUAACGCUUGAAUACAUUAGCAUGGAAUAAUGAAAUAGGACAUCGCGUUCUAUUUUGUUGGUCUCUAGGAUCGAUGUAAUGAUUAAUAGGGAUAGUUGGGGGCAUUAGUAUUCAAUUGUCAGAGGUGAAAUUCUUGGAUUUAUUGAAGACUUACUACUGCGAAAGCAUUUGCCAAGGAUGUUUUCAUUAAUCAAGAACGAAAGUUAGGGGAUCGAAGACGAUCAGAUACCGUCGUAGUCUUAACCAUAAACUAUGCCGACUAGGGAUCGGAUGAUGUUGAUUUUUUAAUGACUCAUUCGGCACCUUACGGGAAAC